rnacentral:rRNA from 2 species
AGAGUUUGAUCAUGGCUCAGAUUGAACGCUGGCGGCAGGCCUAACACAUGCAAGUCGAGCGGAAACGAGUUAUCUGAACCUUCGGGGGACGAUAACGGCGUCGAGCGGCGGACGGGUGAGUAAUGCCUAGGAAAUUGCCCUGAUGUGGGGGAUAACCAUUGGAAACGAUGGCUAAUACCGCAUAAUGCCUACGGGCCAAAGAGGGGGACCUUCGGGCCUCUCGCAUCAGGAUAUGCCUAGGUGGGAUUAGCUAGUUGGUGAGGUAAUGGCUCACCAAGGCGACGAUCCCUAGCUGGUCUGAGAGGAUGAUCAGCCACACUGGAACUGAGACACGGUCCAGACUCCUACGGGAGGCAGCAGUGGGGAAUAUUGCACAAUGGGCGCAAGCCUGAUGCAGCCAUGCCGCGUGUGUGAAGAAGGCCUUCGGGUUGUAAAGCACUUUCAGUCGUGAGGAAGGUAGUGUAGUUAAUAGCUGCAUUAUUUGACGUUAGCGACAGAAGAAGCACCGGCUAACUCCGUGCCAGCAGCCGCGGUAAUACGGAGGGUGCGAGCGUUAAUCGGAAUUACUGGGCGUAAAGCGCAUGCAGGUGGUUUGUUAAGUCAGAUGUGAAAGCCCGGGGCUCAACCUCGGAAUAGCAUUUGAAACUGGCAGACUAGAGUACUGUAGAGGGGGGUAGAAUUUCAGGUGUAGCGGUGAAAUGCGUAGAGAUCUGAAGGAAUACCGGUGGCGAAGGCGGCCCCCUGGACAGAUACUGACACUCAGAUGCGAAAGCGUGGGGAGCAAACAGGAUUAGAUACCCUGGUAGUCCACGCCGUAAACGAUGUCUACUUGGAGGUUGUGGCCUUGAGCCGUGGCUUUCGGAGCUAACGCGUUAAGUAGACCGCCUGGGGAGUACGGUCGCAAGAUUAAAACUCAAAUGAAUUGACGGGGGCCCGCACAAGCGGUGGAGCAUGUGGUUUAAUUCGAUGCAACGCGAAGAACCUUACCUACUCUUGACAUCCAGAGAACUUUCCAGAGAUGGAUUGGUGCCUUCGGGAACUCUGAGACAGGUGCUGCAUGGCUGUCGUCAGCUCGUGUUGUGAAAUGUUGGGUUAAGUCCCGCAACGAGCGCAACCCUUAUCCUUGUUUGCCAGCGAGUAAUGUCGGGAACUCCAGGGAGACUGCCGGUGAUAAACCGGAGGAAGGUGGGGACGACGUCAAGUCAUCAUGGCCCUUACGAGUAGGGCUACACACGUGCUACAAUGGCGCAUACAGAGGGCAGCAAGCUAGCGAUAGUGAGCGAAUCCCAAAAAGUGCGUCGUAGUCCGGAUUGGAGUCUGCAACUCGACUCCAUGAAGUCGGAAUCGCUAGUAAUCGUGGAUCAGAAUGCCACGGUGAAUACGUUCCCGGGCCUUGUACACACCGCCCGUCACACCAUGGGAGUGGGCUGCAAAAGAAGUAGGUAGUUUAACCUUCGGGAGGACGCUUACCACUUUGUGGUUCAUGACUGGGGUGAAGUCGUAACAAGGUAGCGCUAGGGGAACCUGGCGCUGGAUCACCU